UUUUCCUGCAUGUAUGUUUGUGCACGAUGUCGUUACAGUGCCAGCAGAGGCAAGAAGGACAGUGUUGGAUCGCCCUGGAUGUGGAGUUAGAGAUGUUUGUUAGCCAGCAUGCGGGUGCUGGAAGUCAAACCUACAUCUUCUGGAAGAGUAGCCAGUUCUCAUCAUCUGAGCAAUUGUCCAAUUACCAAGGGUCUUCUGUACAUCUCAAAACACCAGUUGAGGGCUGUUGUACAGCAAUUCCUUCUAAGAUAAAACAUUCGGGAUCACUGGGAGUGCCACUGGGAUCACUGGCAGAGGAGAUUGUGCAGCAAUCAUUCUGUUCCUGCUGUGAACAUUACAAGCUAGAGCCGAGUACACAGGCUGGCCAUCAUGUCACGUUACAGUAUGGAGGAGAAAGCAAGGGAUAUGUUGGUAACCUGGGAACUGGUGUGGGUAAAGGAGAGUUAGAAAGAGCAUUCAGUUACUAUGGACCCUUAAGAACUGUAUGGAUUGCCAGAAAUCCUCCAGGAUUUGCCUUUGUGGAUUUGAAGACCCUAGAGAUGCAGAGGAUGCGGUUGGAGGAUUGGGUGGGAAAGUGAUUUGUGGUUCUCGAGUGAGGGUUGAAUUAUCAACAGGCAUGCCUCGGAGAUCUCGUUUUGAUAGGCCACCUGCCUGUCAUCCCUUUGAUCCUAAUGAUAGAUGCUAUGAGUGUGGUGAACAGGGACAUUAUGCUUAUGACUAUCAUCGCUGUAGCCGACGAAGAAGCAGGUCACGAUCUAGAUCACAUUCCGGAUCCAAGGGAAGGCGAUACUCUUACUCACGCAGCAGGAGCUGCGGAAGGAGGUCAAGAUCAACAUCUCCUCUAUGAUCAAGGUCUGUGUCUCUUCCUAGUUCAAGAUCAACUUCACUCAGAAGAUCUAAGUCUGUUUCUAUAAUAGGAUCGAGAUCCCACAAGGUCGAGAUCAAGAUCUAGGUCUAUUUCAUGACCAAGAAGCUGCCAAUCAAAAUCCAGAUCUCCAUCUCCUAGAAGAAGUCAUUCCCCAUCAGGAAGUCCACAUAGGAGUGCAAGUCCAGAAAGAAUGGACUGAAGUUCUCAAGUUCACCCGUUAGGAAAAAGUUUUUAUUUUUUUUUUGUUUAAAUUAUUAUAAGGGAUUUGUUACGUCUGUAAGUGUAACCUAGGAAGGAUCAACAACCAUCUAAUCAAAAUGGAUCUGGAUUAUUAUUCUGCAAAAUUCACAGCGGCAAAUGUUAUUUUUCUUGAAAGUAUUAACAUCUUAUGAUCUGAAAAUGUGGGUUUUUAUUUGACACAUUUAAAUAAAAUGUUUCUAACUAGGAAAAAAACCAUUCCAUUAUAGAAGGAAGCUUUUUAAGACUCAAGAUGUUCUUAAGGGAGAUAAUCAAGAUUCAGGAAAGAAAUAACAUAAAAAAACCUUCAGAAGUUCCUAAAACUGACUAGAUUCCUGAGGUUCUUCAUUGCCCAGGAAUGUAUAAACAGUAAGUUCUGCUGGACUCUCAGACCAGCUGAGCUUCCCUGAAAAGCUAGUUUCCAAUCAAUUAAGCUGUCAAUAAGUCAUAUAACUGAGCUGUGAUUCAUACUAGAGUGGACUUUUGUUAAACUAGCUGUCUUUGAGCUUGUUCUACUUCUGUAGGUAAACCCUCACCCAUACUCCCACAAGUAACACCAAUAAAAUUCACUAGUUCAUCAAGCU
rnacentral:lncRNA from 1 species